rnacentral:lncRNA from 1 species
UUAAGAGCCUCAGGGGCCCUUUAGAAAUAUAAUAAUAAUAUAAAUUUAUUCUCUCUCUCUCUCUCUCUCGAAAUAAUCUCUCUCAAAAAAUGGCUACAUCGUCUAAAAAAUCAAGCGGACCGGUGUUACCAAUAGCGUCUGCGUUCCGGCGAUCGAUCUCUCCGUCUGGUCGGUUCUGCAAUUCGGCGAUGGGGAUUUCAGACGUAUCGUCGUUCGCCUCAUCAUCCUCGUCGUCGUUUACGUAUACUUCGAAUUCAUCGAGUGGUUUCUUCCAGAAUCACAGGUCAUCAUCUCCGACGCGCGUGAACCUUCACGCUAUGUCUUCUUCAUCUCCGACGCCGUCGGUAAGGUUCUCCAUCAACAGAUCUGACUCGACGCGACGUUCCAUGGCGGUAUCGCCACAAAAUCAGGUGGUACGAAAGCGCGAUGGUAACAGUAUGUCGCUGCAGAAGAGGACUUGCUUGUGCUCGCCUACUACCCAUCCCGGAUCGUUCAGGUGCGCUUUGCAUAAGAAUAAUUUUGGUAGCAAUAGUGGGAAUAAUCAUUCUAUAUCAUACUCGCCCAAUCGGUUGAACGCUCGGAGAUCGGCGAUGACGAAUUCUCUUGUGCGGAUCGGAACGGUUGAAGGCGAUUUGGUUAAGCGAGCUUUGGCGGCUCUGAUUCGGCCGUCGUCUCAUCAGCAGCGCCGCCGAGUCGAUUUCCAGCCUCGUCCUAGCCGUUUGUCUAUCAUGUCUAAAGCCGAGGAUCUGUGAGAAGUCUAGUUCUUUGGGUUACAGGUUGGUUCUAUUGAUACGGUUUAGAGAAGAAGUUUACUCUUCAGUGAUUUCCAGCGAAAGGGCCUUGGCCAGAUCUCGGUGGUUAUCGUGCCAAAUUUCCGGCGGGUUUUUGUACUCCGGGCAAUCGGAAACCUUAGCAAUUUUGGAAACAGGAGGAUCUGAAAUUGACUCAGUUGUGUACAUAUGAUUUGCGAAAUGAACGACACAUUUGGACAUUUAUCACAUCCAUACUGCACAAGAAUCUUAACUUAAAAGGGACAGUAUGUUAAGCAAUUUCAUUUAAUUGAACCCUGAAAAAUCUUAUUUCAAAUUAAAAACAAUAUUUAUUCAGAGUUCGUGUGUUCUUUGAGACUUCGAAUUUCGUAUUGGUUUGUUAAGUUCGUUGAAAUCAAUUUAAUCUCGUUCCCCGUGUGUGCUUGCAGCGUUGUGUGUUCCGUCCAGUUAGGCGUUGUGAUUGACGUAUAAUCCAUUCUCCCGUUCGCCGUCACGUUUCCGUUCGUCGUGUAUUCGUCUCCUGUUAAGGUAUUUCGUUAUUUCCUAUUUGUCAUUAUUUUCGUUUAUAAACAUAAUUUAUAUAUUUUGUUUGUUUUAACUGUUAUAUGUUUGUUUUUAAUAAUGUUGCAGCUUGCGGGUAUGGACGGAAGACUUCAAAUUUAUUUGAAGUUUGGGACUUGGGACCUUUGAUUUUGGAUUUGGACAAUCGAGUUUUUAAUGUAAAAUAUCUACUUACCUCGACUUUGGAACUGGAAAAGGAUUGGAGUUCGGAAAAAAAUAGUUAAAAAUUGGAUGUCCUAAAAAACUGCUAUUUUAAGGUUAAGCCCUCAUUUGACCUCAUUUUCUUUUUCAUUUUUUUUCUCUUUUAAUUUUAAUCACCUGAUUUUUAAUAAAAUAAUAUUAUAAGUAAAUUAAAAAAAAUUCAUUUUUUUCAACCACAUAUUUUACAAAAAAAAAGCUAUUUCAACAAUUAAAAUUUGAAAAUAAUAAGGACCAAACGGGGCUUAAAAGUUGAAAUUAUACUAUUAACUGAAACAAAAAUUACUAGGUGGAUAAAAAUUACGAACCUCAAAUUCGUUUAAGCUAUGAUCCGUGAGUCUAUUUAAUUUGGAUUAAAAUCUGAUUUUAAUUUAAGUUAAAGUACAAUCGAAUAUUAAUAAUAUUUUUCAUUUAUCUCAUAACUUUUUAAUCACUCAUUUUACAAAUUUCUAUUAUAAUUUAUGAAAAUUUUUAAUUUUACUCCUUAUUAAAUACCCUCUAUAUUUCAAGAUAUAUAUAUUAAAAAAAAAAAAUUAGAACGAAUCUGCAAAAUGGCGCGCCUAUAAAGAAAGAACGAAAUGUUAAAGAGAAGGCAGAUAAAUAAAUAAAGAGGAUUGAUACGAAUAUAGUGGCCUGCUGGACACGCGUAGGUGUGGGGGCAGGAGAGAGGCCGAUGAUUGGAGGAAAGACUUUUUGGGAUGUAUGGAAUCGUUGGAAUAUCGAUGUCGUUUCAGCACUGCAAAUGGACCUUUUCCUUAUCUAGAACCCUAGGGUAGGAGUGGAGGUAACACUGCCACCCAAAUCACUAUUUCUUGACUAGAAAGGAUAGACUGAUUUGGGACCUCCUUCAUUGGAAUAAAAUGGCACCCUAUGCAACCUUUCUUUCAUGUGCUUUUACGAUUCUUGACCCGGAAAAAAAUGCCUUCAAAACAAA